rnacentral:rRNA from 1 species
GAUGAACGCUGGCGGCGUGCCUAAUACAUGCAAGUCGAGCGAACAGACGAGGAGCUUGCUCCUCUGACGUUAGCGGCGGAUGGGUGAGUAACACGUGGAUAACCUACCUAUAAGAAUGGGAUAACUUCGGGAAACCGGAGCUAAUACCGGAUAAUCUAUUGAACCGCAUGGUUCAAUAGUGAAAGACGGUUUUGCUGUCACCUAUAGAUGGAUCAGCGCCGCAUUAGCUAGUUGGUAAGGUAACGGCUUACCAAGGCAACGAUGCGUAGCCGACCUGACAGGGUGAUCGGCCACACUGGAACUGAGACACGGUCCAGACUCCUACGGGAGGCAGCAGUAGGGAAUCUUCCGCAAUGGGCGAAAGCCGGACGGAGCAACGCCGCGUGAGUGAUGAAGGUCUUCGGAUCGUAAAACUCUGUUAUUAGGGAAGAACAAAUGUGUAAGUAACUAUGCACGUCUUGACGGUACCUAAUCAGAAAGCCACGGCUAACUACGUG